GGUGGCAGGUGAGGAAAGUCCGGGCUUCACAGGGCAGGAUGCCGGAUAACGUCCGGUGGAGGCGACUCCAAGGAUAGUGCAACAGAAAUAAACCGCCGUGCAAACGGUAAGGGUGGAAAGGCAGUGUAAGAGACUACCGCCUGUGUGGUAACAUGCAGGGCUCUGUAAACCCCAUCCGAAGCAAGACCAAACAGAGGACCAUAGAUUUGCCCGAUCUGUUCUCAGGUAGGUCGCUUGAGAUUAGCGGUAACGUUAAUACCAGAUAGAUGAUCAUUCACGACAGAACCCGGCUUACAGUCCCACUCGUUUU
rnacentral:RNase_P_RNA from 1 species